GACGAACGCUGGCGGCGUGCCUAAUACAUGCAAGUAGGACGCAGUUGCGAACGGGUGAGUAACGCGUAGGUAACUACCUAUUAGAGGGGGAUAACUAUUGGAAACGAUAGCUAAUACCGCAUACUAGUAGAUGGACCUGCGUUGUAUUAGCUAGUAGGUAGGGGAAUGGCCUACCUAGGAAACGAUACAUAGCCGACCCUAGAGGGUGGUCGGGCCCACCGGGACUUAAACCCCGUCCAGGAUUCCUCCGGAGGGCGCCGGUGGGGAUCUUCCGGCAUGGGGGGAACCCUGACCGAGCAACGCGGCGUGAGUGAAGAAGGUUUUCGGAUCGUAAAGCUCUGUUGUUAAGGAAGCGGUACCGGAAUAGAAAGCCACGGCUAACUACGUGCCAGCAGCCGCGGUAAUAC
rnacentral:rRNA from 1 species